rnacentral:rRNA from 1 species
UGAACGCUGGCGGUAUGCUUAACACAUGCAAGUCGAACGGAAACGAUACUAGCUUGCUAGUAGGCGUCGAGUGGCGGACGGGUGAGUAACGCGUAGGAAUCUACCUGAUAGUGGGGGAUAGCCCGAAGAAAUUCGGAUUAAUACCGCAUAAUCUAUUCGUAGUAAAGUGGGGGACUUUCGAGCCUCACGCUAUCAGAUGAGCCUGCGUAAGAUUAGCUAGUUGGUAGGGUAAAAGCCUACCAAGGCGACGAUCUUUAGCUGGUCUGAGAGGAUGAUCAGCCACAUCGGGACUGAGACACGGCCCGAACUCCUACGGGAGGCAGCAGUGGGGAAUAUUGGACAAUGGGGGCAACCCUGAUCCAGCAAUACCGCGUGUGUGAAGAAGGCCUGAGGGUUGUAAAGCACUUUCAAUUGUGAAGAAAAGCUAGUGGUUAAUAGCCAUUAGCCUUGACGUUAACUUUAGAAGAAGCACCGGCUAACUCCGUGCCAGCAGCCGCGGUAAUACGGAGGGUGCAAGCGUUAAUCGGAAUUACUGGGCGUAAAGCGUGCGUAGGCGGUUUAUUAAGUCAGAUGUGAAAGCCCCGGGCUUAACCUGGGAACUGCAUUUGAAACUGGUCAACUAGAGUAUGGUAGAGGAAAGUGGAAUUUCUGGUGUAGCGGUGAAAUGCGUAGAUAUCAGAAAGGAACAUCAAUGGCGAAGGCAACUUUCUGGACCAAUACUGACGCUGAGGUACGAAAGCGUGGGUAGCAAACAGGAUUAGAUACCCUGGUAGUCCACGCCGUAAACGAUGAUAACUAGCCGUUGGGGGGAUUUACCCCUUAGUGGCGAAGCUAACGCGUUAAGUUAUCCGCCUGGGGAGUACGGCCGCAAGGUUAAAACUCAAAGGAAUUGACGGGGACCCGCACAAGCGGUGGAGCAUGUGGUUUAAUUCGAUGCAACGCGAAGAACCUUACCUGGUCUUGACAUCCUGAGAACUUUCUAGAAAUAGAUUGGUGCCUUCGGGAACUCAGUGACAGGUGCUGCAUGGCUGUCGUCAGCUCGUGUCGUGAGAUGUUGGGUUAAGUCCCGUAACGAGCGCAACCCCUAUCCUUAUUUGCCAGCACAUCAUGGUGGGAACUAUAAGGAGACUGCCGGUGAUAAACCGGAGGAAGGCGGGGACGACGUCAAGUCAUCAUGGCCCUUACGACCAGGGCUACACACGUGCUACAAUGGGAAGGACAAAGAGCCGCGAAGCCGCGAGGUGUAGCUAAUCUCAGAAACCUUUUCGUAGUCCGGAUUGGAGUCUGCAACUCGACUCCAUGAAGUCGGAAUCGCUAGUAAUCGUAGAUCAGAAUGCUACGGUGAAUACGUUCCCGGGUCUUGUACACACC